rnacentral:rRNA from 1 species
ACAGCAGUCGCCGCGGGAAUACGUAGGUGGCAAGCGUUGUCCGGAAUUAUUGGGCGUAAAGGGCUCGCAGGCGGUUUCUUAAGUCUGAUGUGAAAGCCCCCGGCUCAACCGGGGAGGGUCGUUGGAAACUGGGAAACUUGAGUGCAGAAGAGGAGAGUGGAAUUCCACGUGUAGCGGUGAAAUGCGUAGAGAUGUGGAGGAACACCAGUGGCGAAGGCGACUCUCUGGUCUGUAACUGACGCUGAGGAGCGAAAGCGUGGGGAGCGAACAGGAUUAGAUACCCGAGUAGUCCCUGUCUCUUAUAC